rnacentral:rRNA from 1 species
AUUGAGCGCUGGCGGAAUGCUUUACACAUGCAAGUCGAACGGCAGUACGGACUUCGGUCUGGUGGCGAGUGGCGAACGGGUGAGUAAUGUAUCGGAACGUGCCCAGUCGUGGGGGAUAACGUAGUGAAAAUUACGCUAAUACCGCAUACGAUCUAUGGAUGAAAGCGGGGGAUCGCAAGACCUCGCGCGAUUGGAGCGGCCGAUAUCAGAAUAGGUAGUUGGUGGGGUAAAGGCCCACCAAGCCAACGAUCUGUAGCUGGUCUGAGAGGACGACCAGCCACACUGGAACUGAGACACGGUCCAGACUCCUACGGGAGGCAGCAGUGGGGAAUUUUGGACAAUGGGCGAAAGCCUGAUCCAGCCAUUCCGCGUGCAGGAUGAAGGCCCUCGGGUUGUAAACUGCUUUUGUACAGAACGAAAAGGUUUCUACUAAUACUAGGAGCUCAUGACGGUACUGUAAGAAUAAGCACCGGCUAACUACGUGCCAGCCGCCGCGGUAA